UCAUGCUUCGGGCGGGGAAAAAAGACAGAGAAUUGGAUUUUUUUUCUUCAUAGGAUUUUGGGAAGACUGAGGCAAUCGUUACUGAAGUCAGUGUUGUAAUGGUGAAUCGGGAUUUUUAAUGAAGUGGGUUUGAUUACUCUUGACUGUUUUGUGAAAUCGAGUUACGUUUGUGAUGAAGAGUUAAAAGGGUGUCUAUAGGAUUGUGUAUGCGGAGUGAAUGAAAUUUAUUGGGUUAAUCUAACAAGACAGUCAGUGGAUACAAGAUCGUGAGUAUAAAGCGGUAUCGAAGAUUAGUAGUUUGGGUUGUUCGGGGUUC
rnacentral:lncRNA from 1 species